UCAAGUAAUUAAGUGCAUGUGGUGGAUGCCUUGGCAGUCAGAGGCGAUGAAAGACGUGAUAGCCUGCGAAAAGCUCCGGGGAGGCGGCAAAUAUCCUUUGAUCCGGAGAUGUCUGAAUGGGGAACCCACCUACUUUAAGGUAGGUAUUGCAACAUGAAUACAUAGUGUUGCAAGGCGAACGAGGGGAAGUGAAACAUCUCAGUACCCUUAGGAAAAGAAAUCAAUUGAGAUUCCCUCAGUAGCGGCGAGCGAACGGGGAUCAGCCCAUUAAGUUAUGUGUGUUUUAGUGGAACGCUCUGGGAAGUGCGAACGUAGAGGGUGAUAUUCCCGUACACGAAAGGGCACACAUAAUGAUGACGAGUAGGGCGAGGCACGUGAAACCUUGUCUGAAUAUGGGGGGACCAUCCUCCAAGGCUAAAUACUCCUGACUGACCGAUAGUGAACCAGUACCGUGAGGGAAAGGCGAAAAGAACCCCUGUGAGGGGAGUGAAAUAGAUCCUGAAACCGCAUGCAUACAAGCAGUGGGAGCACCUUCGUGGUGUGACUGCGUACCUUUUGUAUAAUGGGUCAGCGACUUAUAUUCAGUAGCGAGGUUAACCGUAUAGGGGAGCCGUAGAGAAAUCGAGUCUUAAUAGGGCGUUUAGUUGCUGGGUAUAGACCCGAAACCAGGCGAUCUAUCCAUGAGCAGGUUGAAGGUUGGGUAACACUAACUGGAGGACCGAACCCACUGUCGUUGAAAAGCCAGGGGAUGACUUGUGGAUAGGGGUGAAAGGCUAAUCAAGCCUGGUGAUAGCUGGUUCUCCCCGAAAGCUAUUUAGGUAGCGCCUCGGACGAAUACCAUAGGGGGUAGAGCACUGUUUCGGCUAGGGGGUCAUCCCGACUUACCAAACCGAUGCAAACUCCGAAUACCUAUGAGUACUAUCCGGGAGACAGACUGCGGGUGCUAACGUCCGUAGUCAAGAGGAAAACAAUCCAGACCGCCAGCUAAGGCCCCAAAAUCAUAGUUAAGUGGGAAACGAUGUGGGAAGGCAUAGACAGCUAGGAGGUUGGCUUAGAAGCAGCCACCCUUUAAAGAAAGCGUAAUAGCUCACUAGUCGAGUCGGCCUGCGCGGAAGAUGUAACGGGGCUAAAACUAUGUGCCGAAGCUGCGGAUGUAUACUUUGUAUACGUGGUAGGGGAGCGUUCUGUAAGCCGAUGAAGGUGUGUUGAGAAGCAUGCUGGAGGUAUCAGAAGUGCGAAUGCUGACGUGAGUAACGACAAAACGGGUGAAAAACCCGUUCGCCGAAAGACCAAGGGUUCCAGUCCAACGUUAAUCGGGGCUGGGUGAGUCGACCCCUAAGGCGAGGCCGAAAGGCGUAGUCGAUGGGAAAAUGGUUAAUAUUCCAUUACUUCUGUGUAAUGCGAUGAGAGGACGGAGAAGGCUAAAUCAGCCUGGCGUUGGUUGUCCAGGUGAAAGGAUGUAGGCAUGUAUCUUAGGCAAAUCCGGGGUACUCUAUGCUGAGAUCUGAUAGCAAGCUGUACUUGUACAGCGAAGUGGUUGAUGCCAUGCUUCCAGGAAAAGUCUCUAAGCUUCAGUUACACAGGAAUCGUACCCGAAACCGACACAGGUGGUCAGGUCGAGUAGACCAAGGCGCUUGAGAGAACUCUGCUGAAGGAACUAGGCAAAAUGGUACCGUAACUUCGGGAGAAGGUACGCUGUUGUUGGUGAUGGAACUCGCUUCCUGAGCUGACGACAGCCGCAGAAACCAGGCCGCUGCAACUGUUUAUUAAAAACAUAGCACUCUGCAAACACGAAAGUGGACGUAUAGGGUGUGAUGCCUGCCCGGUGCUGGAAGGUUAAUUGAUGGGGUUAGCGUAAGCGAAGCUCUUGAUCGAAGCCCCAGUAAACGGCGGCCGUAACUAUAACGGUCCUAAGGUAGCGAAAUUCCUUGUCGGGUAAGUUCCGACCUGCACGAAUGGCAUAAUGAUGGCGGCGCUGUCUCCAGCAGAGGCUCAGUGAAAUCGAAAUCGCUGUGAAGAUGCAGUGUACCCGCGGCUAGACGGAAAGACCCCGUGAACCUUUACUGCAGCUUGACACUGAACUUUGACCUUACUUGUGUAGGAUAGGUGGGAGGCUUUGAAGCUGGAACGCUAGUUCCAGUGGAGCCGUCCUUGAAAUACCACCCUGGUAAUGUUGAGGUUCUAACUCUGUCCCGUGAUCCGGGACGAGGACCGUGUCUGGUGGGUAGUUUGACUGGGGCGGUCUCCUCCUAAAGAGUAACGGAGGAGUACGAAGGUGCGCUCAGCGUGGUCGGAAAUCACGCGUAGAGUAUAAAGGCAAAAGCGCGCUUAACUGCGAGACCCACAAGUCGAGCAGGUACGAAAGUAGGUCUUAGUGAUCCGGUGGUUCUGUAUGGAAGGGCCAUCGCUCAACGGAUAAAAGGUACUCUGGGGAUAACAGGCUGAUACCGCCCAAGAGUUCAUAUCGACGGCGGUGUUUGGCACCUCGAUGUCGGCUCAUCUCAUCCUGGGGCUGAAGCAGGUCCCAAGGGUAUGGCUGUUCGCCAUUUAAAGAGGUACGCGAGCUGGGUUUAGAACGUCGUGAGACAGUUCGGUCCCUAUCUACCGUGGGCGCUGGAAAUUUGAGAGGAUCUGCUCCUAGUACGAGAGGACCAGAGUGGACGAACCUCUGGUGUACCGGUUGUGACGCCAGUCGCAUCGCCGGGUAGCUAUGUUCGGAAGGGAUAACCGCUGAAAGCAUCUAAGCGGGAAGCCUACCUCAAGAUAAGAUUUCCCUAGGACUUUAUGUCCUCUAAAGAGCCGUUCGAGACUAGGACGUUGAUAGGUUGGAUGUGGAAGCAUAGUGAUAUGUGAAGCUGACCAAUACUAAUUGCUCGUGAGGCUUGACUAU
rnacentral:rRNA from 1 species